CCUACGGGGGGCAGCAGUGGGGAAUAUUGGACAAUGGGGGGAACCCUGAUCCAGCCAUGCCGCGUGUGUGAAGAAGGCCCUCGGGUUGUAAAGCACUUUCAGUGAGGAAGAACGCCUGGUGGUUAAUACCCAUCAGGAAAGACAUCACUCACAGAAGAAGCACCGGCUAACUCCGUGCCAGCAGCCGCGGUAAUACGGAGGGUGCGAGCGUUAAUCGGAAUUACUGGGCGUAAAGCGCGCGUAGGUGGCGUGAUAAGCCGGUUGUGAAAGCCCCGGGCUCAACCUGGGAACGGCAUCCGGAACUGUCAAGCUAGAGUGCAGGAGAGGAAGGUAGAAUUCCCGGUGUAGCGGUGAAAUGCGUAGAGAUCGGGAGGAAUACCAGUGGCGAAGGCGGCCUUCUGGACUGACACUGACACUGAGGUGCGAAAGCGUGGGUAGCAAACAGGAUUAGAUACCCCAGUAGUC
rnacentral:rRNA from 1 species